rnacentral:rRNA from 1 species
CCUACGGGAGGCAGCAGUGGGGAAUCUUCCGCAAUGGGCGCAAGCCUGACGCAGCAACGCCGCGUAAAUGAAGAAGGUCUUCGGAUCGUAAAGUUCUUUUCUUAGGGAAGUAGACUUUGGUUGUGAAUGAUGACUUAAGGUGACGUUACCUAUGGAGAAAGCUACGUCUAACUACGUGCCAGCAGCCGCGGUAAUACGUAGGGAGCGAGCGUUGUCUGGAAGUACUGGGCGUAACGGGCGCGUAGGCGGGAAAUUAAGUUAGAUGUGAAAACUUCGGGCUUAACCUGGAGAAUGCAUUUAAAACUGGGUUUCUUGAGGGCAGGAGAGGAGAGUGGAAUUCCUAGUGUAGCGGUGAAAUGCGUAGAUAUUAGGAGGAACACCAGUGGCGAAGGCGACUUUCUGGACUGUACCUGACGCUGAGGCGCGAAAGCAUGGGGAGCGAACAGGAUUAGAUACCCUGGUAGUC